CUGCAUUCAGGAGCAUAAAGUGGGAAUUGAACUCAGAAUUCAUGUACUGGAACCUAACUGCCAGUACCUCAGAAUGCGGGUGGAAAUGGAGAUGGGGUCUCUAAACAGAAUGCUUCUCAUUUAGGUCUCCCCUGC